rnacentral:ribozyme from 13 species
GAAAAGAAAGAAAGAAAAGAAAAAGAAAAAGAAAAAAAAUGGCAAAGGAAUUGAAAGUGACUGUUCUGGCGGCUCAAGAUCUUCCUAUUUCGGAUUUAACUUCUUCUGACCC